rnacentral:rRNA from 1 species
AUUGAACGCUGGCGGAAUGCUUUACACAUGCAAGUCGAACGGCAGCACGGACUUCGGUCUGGUGGCGAGUGGCGAACGGGUGAGUAAUGUAUCGGAACGUGCCCAGUCGUGGGGGAUAACGUAGUGAAAAUUACGCUAAUACCGCAUACGAUCUAUGGAUGAAAGCGGGGGAUCGCAAGGCCUCGCGCGAUUGGAGCGGCCGAUAUCAGAUUAGGUAGUUGGUGGGGUAAAGGCCCACCAAGCCAACGAUCUGUAGCUGGUCUGAGAGGACGACCAGCCACACUGGAACUGAGACACGGUCCAGGCUCCUACGGGAGGCAGCAGUGGGGAAUUUUGGACAAUGGGCGAAAGCCUGAUCCAGCCAUUCCGCGUGCAGGAUGAAGGCCCUCGGGUUGUAAACUGCUUUUGUACAGAACGAAAAGGUUUCUACUAAUACUAGGAGCUCAUGACGGUACUGUAAGAAUAAGCGCCGGCUAACUACGUGCCAGCAGCCGCCGUAA